CGCGUGGGAACAUGCCCCAAAGUGAGGAAUAACUGCCCGAAAGGGUAGCUAAUGCCGCAUAUGAUCUUCGGAUUAAAGUCUUCGGACGCUUUGGGAGUGGCCUGCGUAUGAUUAGGUAGUUGGUAGGGUAAUGGCCUACCAAGCCGACGAUCAUUAGCUGGUCUGAGAGGAUGACCAGCCAGACUGGAACUGAGACACGGUCCAGACUCCUACGGGAGGCAGCAGUGAGGAAUCUUCCACAAUGGGCGAAAGCCUGAUGGAGCAACGCCGCGUGAAGGAUGAAGGCCCUCGGGUUGUAAACUUCUUUUAUGAGUGAAGAAUAUGACGGUAACUCAUGAAUAAGCACCGGCUAACUACGUG
rnacentral:rRNA from 1 species